ensembl:lncRNA
AGUUUAUUACUCUGUUUACCUGGACUUCAGUUCCUCACAAUAGCUGUGCCUCUCCCUCUCAUAGCCUGUUCCCUGCCAUCCUGUUACUCUCUGCCAAAAAAACAUCACGAGGGGUUCUCACAGCCUUCAUUCUUUCCACUGAUAAGACCCCAACUGCUUCCUGGGAGGGCUCUAAUUGGCCCCAAUUAGGACUUCUCCGGGUCCACAGGGAUCACCACGACGAUCAGCCUCACCCAGAGAUUGUCUCCUGACGAGUAGACUAGGGCUGGACUAAAUCUGAUCCGACUGUCUAUGAUCCCAGCAGCUAGGAACCAGCCCUCCUCCUCUGAUAUAAACCAUAGCCCAUUUGAUAUGGCAGCUGAAGAGGCUUGUUGAGUAUCCAGGUGUAUUUCGUCAAGGGAUGGGGCCCCUCCUGGGACCCGAGUUUCCCUUAAGGAAAGGUACAGAGACUGUGUACAGUGAAGUCCAGAACUCUCCAACCGGGCCAUACGAUGACCAGCGCCAUCAUGGUUCACUGGAGAAUGCCGACCUCAACAGCACCCAGCCUGAGGUCCAUCAUGCCCUGCUGGAGGCCCGUCACCAUGACCUCCCUGACCUCCCAGUGCCUGUCGAAUAGAGGUUCCCUCUGACCCCUCGCGACCCGCCGUGUGCCAAGCCAUGACCACAGACACCCCUCCUUUCCCCCCAGUUUAAAGCCCACUCCUCAUUGUCAUGUGUCUUUUUAUACUGUACGUUUGUGAAAUUGCUUACUCCGAUAAGCUGUACGUUUCUGCAUCAGUUCUACCGUCAGAAUACAAUCCCUCAACAUGCUUCCUUUGACAUGCUGUACAUAGCGGUCUUUCCUAGUUGACCUUUGUUUAGCCUUUUUGUGUUUGCAUAACCCCUAAUGGUGGGCCAGAGUUCAUUUAGCCUCUCCCUUGCUUUGAUAGCGGAGUUUACAUUAAGUUCCCCUUGAUCUACUAAACGGAUACCAUGAACAUUUAUGUCCGUCACGGUUUCUCCAGACUUCACAGCCGCCCUCUGUCGUCCGACCGGGCCCGUGCCCAAAUCAGGCAACGCAGCCAGGAUCACUGAAUUACACGGUGGAAAUGACUACGGAAAAGAUUUCUGAGUGUAAACAAAGGAGCUGCCCGUCUCCCGCUGCUGUGGAAUAUGAUGUCGAUGUUGUCACAUCCUGCCAGACUAAGCUGGAGUGAGUCAAACGGUUAAUAUUGUCGUCAAGAUUGAAAUGACUCCGGCAAGCAGUGUUUUACAUGAAUUCAAUUUGAUUCAUUUUUGAAGUUCCUCUGUAGAUGCUUUACAGGUUGUCAUACUGUGAACAAACUACCUCUAGAUAAGCAACGGCUUGAUAAGGUUAUGGCUUGUUGACAGUUACAGUGAUGUUUAUAGUGCGUAGUGCAUCUACUUGUGUACUUCGGGGGCUCUCCAAAUAGUGUCACCUAACAUUUCUUUGUAAAAUCACACCAAAUGUAAGGAAGGUGCUUACAAUUUAUAAAUGCUAUGAGAUGUGUUUAUAAAUGUGUUCAAAACACUUGUAUAGAAAAAUCUAUCAAGAUAGUAUUUGGGUAUCAAAGGACAGCUGAUCAGCAAUAUGUUCCUUUUUUUUCCUCCUAUAUUUUUUUUAAAACAUGACCCUAAUGGUGUAUUAUUAUUGUAAUAUUCAAAGUGACCUGUAGAGAGCAUUAUUCUCUUAUAAAUACAGGCAGGUUACUAGGCAGUGUGAGGACAUUGUGUGAUUACGCCAUCUUGUGACUAAAAUGUAUAUUCCAGUUUUUUGCCAGACCGCAGAAGCAGAGCCUGCCAAGAGCGAAUGGCUCUGACUGACUGACUGCCCAUUGUUAAAUUGCAUUGUGGUUAGAGAUGCCGUCUGCCACAUACGAGAUCGGGUAUCCAAUCUGGCUAGGGACAAAACAAAUUAAGAUUAGUUGAGGAUAAACUAAAGCUUCAGUAGUUACAUAUAGUAAGCCAAAAGCAAAGUGAAGUGUUGAACUUGAAACACUGCUGUCUCAUCCAGGGAGAGCAGGUUAGAGUGAGGGUAACAAAACACUUCACUCUUCCUACUAGUCCACUUGAUAGAACUCUGUGAAGAAAGAAGUUACACGAAAAACAGCAAUAUAUUAUAUUUUUUGACAAACAAGUAGUAUACAUAUUUUUCCCACCACCAAUGUUCUUAGAGUUGUAUACAGCCAAUUCGUCUUUUAGUUUCUGUUCCUUUUCUGUCACUUUUUAAGUUCACCUGUUUUAACAGGACACGUGAAUAUAGUUACCUUAAACCAAAUCAUUAUGAAAAUCAAUAAUAACUAUUUGACAGUAAUUUUUUUUCAUUAUAUGUACUUAUAGCUAUUAGCUAGCCAUCUACAUUAAUCUGUUUCUAAUUUAAUGCGUUAAAUGUAAAUUUUUGAUACGCAAAAAGUAUUUGUCACUUCUAAUAACAAAGCUGGCAUUGGUCCAUAAAUUGCUGCAAACCCCUUCCUUUGUUCACCACAAUCACCUCUACUCAUAGCCUGGCCAAACUAGGCGGGCCUAUUUUAUUUUCUUGUUUCCUGUUUAGAGCCCAUAUUCACCAAGCGUCUGUGUUGAUCAAUAAUAUAAUUGUAAACUAAGACUAAAACUGCACCUGAAAAAACAUUUUCAUAAACUCGAAUAAUAUAAGAGUGAGCAGGGGCGGGCAAUAUGUGUAUGUUUAAUUUAAAUAAAAAUGGGAACUGAAAAUGUUUAGUGUCAAAGUGUCAAACUACUAAAUGUGGUUGAACAAAUCACAUGUUACAGUUUACCAAGUAAGCAUACAUAAAACCCUUGUAUUGUGUAACUGUUAUCCUUGGUUUUUUUAUUUUUUGCUGUACAAUACAUAAACAGAAUU